rnacentral:misc_RNA from 1 species
UUAAGUUCGCGGUGAGCCUACCUGAUUUGAGAUCGAACGUUAAAAAAGCUGUCCUCACCGAGGAGAGACGUCUAUGAGCCCCAGCGAACCUCCACUGCUGGAGGUUACCUGGUGGACAAUCGCAAGCGUAGAUAGUUAUCACACCCGUGAUGCCACCAAACACUGGCAAGCUGAUUCAUUUGAGAGGAGCCGACCGUAGG